rnacentral:rRNA from 1 species
GUAGUUGGAUCUCAACAGCAUUGAAGCGGUUAACUUUGUAGUUUUACUGCUUUAUAGGCUGUGCUUUUGCUGGAGGUUUAGGGGUGCUCUUGAUCGAGUGUCUCUGGAUGCCAGCAGGUUUACUUUGAAAAAAUUAGAGUGCUCAAAGCAGGCUAAAAUGCCUGAAUAUUCGUGCAUGGAAUAAUAGAAUAGGAUGUCGAUCCUAUUUUGUUGGUUUUCGGGACUCGACAUAAUGAUAAAUAGGGACAGUCGGGGGCAUUUGUAUUCAAACGACAGAGGUGAAAUUCUUGGACCGUUUGAAGACAAACUACUGCGAAAGCAUUUGCCAAGAAUGUUUUCAUUAAUCAAGAACGAAAGUUAGAGGUUCGAAGGCGAUUAGAUACCGCCCUAGUUCUAACCAUAAACGAUGCCAGCUAGCGAUCUGCCUGCGUUUUUACUGUAGACUGGGCAGGAAGCUUCCGGGAAACCAAAGCAUUUGGGUUCCAGGGGAAGUAUGGUUGCAAAGCUGAA